rnacentral:lncRNA from 1 species
GCACUACCUAUAGCAGAGCUCUUUCCCACCCCCACUCCAUUUUCACAUUGUCCACGCUAUCCAGAAUUAUUGGGAUGGCCUUACCCCAUUGAAGUUUACAUUUUAAACGGUUAGGGUUAGUUUUAGGUUAGGGUUAAGGGUUAGUUUUAGGUUAUGGUUAAGGUUAGGGUUUAGGGUUAGUUUUAGGUUAGGGUUAAGGUUAGGGUUAGGGUUUAUGGUAGGGUUUAGGGUUAGGGUUUAGGGUUAGGGUUUAUGGUAGGGUUUAGGGUUAGGGUUUAGGGUUUAUGGUUUAUGGUAGGGACGUGCCAAGGGCCCCUGAUAGCACUGAUGCUUUCCACACAGAAUUCAACCCAAAUAAUAAAAACAUGAAUCGAAAACCGUGAUUUUUGUAUUUAUUAUAAUGAGCCGAAACUAAACCCUGUCCACACGCCCAGUAUUUUCCUUUCGACACACCCAGUUGACCAUAGUCCAGUCUCCAUAUUGAGCUGCAGCUAACUACCUCUCUAUGUGAACGUGAGUAAAUUACCUUGAAAACAACGGCCGGACAUCUAGGAAGCAGUCUCCGGUUUGUAUUAUACCUCGGUGGUGGAAACGGAACAAAUAUCGACCGGAUCUUAUUCGGACGACAACAACAUGUAAUUAAAGAUGUUUUGAAGCCGGUGUACAAAACCGAAAGUAAACGACGCAAAGAAGCAUAGAAAUAGCAGAUCUACCGCUUCUCAGACUUGCUUUCAAUGAGAAGACCUCGAUCUAUAAAGGAUAUUAUUAUUAUUUUAUUCUUUAUGAAAGGUGUAACCAAGUCUUCUGAGAACACAGAGAAACAUGGCUACAGUCUUCAUCUGUUCCGUCUGUACCGAGAUUUUCACCGGACAUAUAUCGCUGAGCUGCCAACACAUCUUCUGUAGUCGAUGCCUCCAGAAGAGUGUGGACGCUGGUCGCGUCAUCUGUCCAGUGUGCGGAGAUCUAAUCACGUCGGAGAACUUCAGAGUCAACAGAAUACUAAGGGACAUGGCAGAUGAAGUGAGACGGAGAAGAGUUGAUCUCAGAGUGUUGAAGGGGAAUGAGGACGUUGAUGUGAAUAUCUGGGAAAGCUACAAGAAGAAGAAGAAGAAGAAGAAGAAAAAUGUUAAAAUAUCAAAGUCCUAUAUGAAGGAAGGCCUGGCUGUCAGAAAGACAGAGGGGAAGCUGAAGUCUUCUCUGACCACUGGUCCCUGGGAAGGUGGCAAAACGCAUCUCUGCGUGCCUGGCAGAAAUCUCAGUUUGGAUGUCAGCC